rnacentral:rRNA from 1 species
UACUGUCAUUAUCAUCCCGGGUAAAAGAGCUUUACGACCCGAAGGCCUUCAUCACUCACGCGGCAUUGCUGGAUCAGGGUUUCCCCCAUUGUCCAAUAUUCCCCACUGCUGCCUCCCGUAG